rnacentral:rRNA from 1 species
UACAGAGGUCCCAAGCGUUGUUCGGAUUCACUGGGCGUAAAGGGUGCGUAGGUGGUCGGGUAAGUCUGAUGUGAAAUCUCCAAGCUCAACUUGGAAACUGCAUCGGAUACUAUUCGGCUCGAGGGUUGGAGGGGGGACUGGAAUGCUUGGUGUAGCAGUGAAAUGCGUAGAUAUCAAGCGGAACACCAAUGGCGAAGGCAACUUCCUGGACAGUUACUGACGCUCAGGCACGAAAGCGUGGGGAGCAAAGGGG